AGGAUCCCAUAGGGGGCACUGGGUGCCAUAGGGUGCUAUGGGGUCCUGCCUGGGGAUGGGUGCUCUAGGAUCCCAUAGGGGGCACUGGGUGCCAUAGGGUGCUAUGGGGUCCUGCCUGGGGAUGGGUGCUCUAGGAUCCCAUAGGGGGCACUGGGUGCCAUGGGGUCCCCUGUAUCCCACAGAGAUGGAUGCUCUAGGAUCCCAUAGGGGGCACUGGGUGCCAUAGGGUGCUAUGGGGACCUGCCUGGGGAUGGGUGCUCUAGGAUCCCAUAGGUGACCCCCACUGCCAUGGGGUCCCCAAACCCCACUGUGGAUGGGUGCUCUAGGAUCCCAUGGGUGCCUCCCACCGCCAUGGGGUGCCCUGUAUCCCAUGGGGUCUCCUGUAUCCCCCAGAGAUGGAUGCUCUAGGAUCCCAUAGGGGGCACUGGGUGCCAUAGGGUGCUAUGGGGUCCUGCCUGGGGAUGGGUGCUCUAGGAUCCCAUAGGUGCCCCCCACCACCAUGGGGUGCCCUGUAUCCCAACAGGAUGGAUCCUAUAGCAUCCCAUAGGUGCCAUUGGGUGCCAUGGGGUCCCAUGACAUUAGGGUCAGAACUUCCCCCUCACAUCCAACCUCAAUCUUCCCUCCUUCAACUUGGAUCCAUUUCCCCUCGUCCUG